CUCCGCUUUGCUUCCCCCACAUGAACAGCGCUGCGCUAAAGCAGCUAAAGCAGCUCCGGCAGGAACCGCGGCGACAUCCCAGAGCCCCCCUACCCAGCGUGGGCAGCAGGAAAGGGAUUGGGAUUGUGCCCUGAGCCCCCUGAGGGCCUGAAGGAGCCUCAGGAAAACUGGAGAGAGACAAUUGCCAAGGGCUGCAGGGCCAGGAGCCAGGGAAUGACUUCCCACUGAAAUGGGGGAGAUUUAGGUGAUCACCCCCAGCUCUCCCAGCCUGGCUCCAGAGCAAAGGAGCUCCGUGGUUUCCUCUGGACUCUGCAGCAGCUCCACAUUUUCUGGUGUUGAUCCAGAGGCAGCUCAGAAGAGCAGAGGAGAGGAGAAUCCCUUCCUUCAGCCUCCUGCUUGUGCUUCUCUUGCACCACCAGCACAUCUGGAGCGUGAUGGAGCGAAAAUAGGAGUCAGAUCACUAAAAAGGAGUUGGGAGUGAAUGUGUGUGCAGGUAUCAGGUCCCUCCUGUGAUUCAUUCCCUAAUUGAUUGUUCAGUCAAUCCGUGGAGAUUGAUGAUUUUAUUGGACAUUUUAAAGUUGUUUUUUUUAAGGUGGGCUUAAGUCACAGAGUUUGGAUCUAAAUCGUCACUUUUGACCACAAAUUCGCAGUUAUUCUGAGGACAGAAGAUCAAAUCAUAGAUUUUUCUUGGACUUUCCCAAGAUCCUCACGGGAACCACCACAUCGAUUUCCUCAGGACUCCAUUAUCCUGUGUGUUAAUUUAGUCAACACUUCCACAGCUCUUUGGAAUUCCAGUGAGUUGCCUCUGUGUGACUCCAUUAAUCCCUCACUGCUGGCAUUCCCAGAAAAUCAAGAACCUGGUUUUUGUACUUCUCUCCCCAGUCCUCCACGAUGUACUGGUGAUAGGGAUCGUUGGAGUGCUCCCUCCUCUUGGAUUUCACCGUGC